rnacentral:rRNA from 1 species
UACAGAGGGUGCGAGCGUUGUUCGGAAUUACUGGGCGUAAAGCGCGCGCAGGCGGCCUUUUAAGUCUGCUGGUGAAAUGCCGGGGCUCAACCCCGUGCCCGCCACAGAUACUGGGAGGCUGGAGACAUGUAGAGGCAAGCGGAAUUCCGGGUGUAGCGGUGGAAUGCGUAGAGAUCCGGAAGAACACCGGAGGCGAAGGCGGCUUGCUGGGCAUGGACUGACGCUGAGGCGCGAAAGCGUGGGGAGCGAACAGG